AAAAAAACUUGUUUUACCAUACAAAACUAUAAAAAUCGAAUUCAUCGCUAAAAAGCUCAAUAUUUCUGUAAAACACUGCUUUUCAAUAAUUAUUCUAAUGAUACUAAAUAAAGACCUUAAUGCUCUCGUAGACGAGAGCAACGGAGUUCUCCAUAGAAAUACAACUGAAGAGGAUGACUUUACUUCUUCUUUAUUGGCUUGGUGUGAAAAUAUUGAAAAAAAAUUGAAACCUUCAGCAUAAAACAAGA